UACGUAGGGGGCAAGCGUUGUCCGGAUUUAUUGGGCGUAAAGAGCGUGUAGGCGGCUUGGUAGGUCUCGCGUCAAAACCUGAGGCUCAACCUCAGUUCGCGUGGGAAACCACCUAGCUAGAGUCCGGAAGAGGAGAACGGAAUUCCCAGUGUAGCGGUGAAAUGCGCAGAUAUGGGAAGAACACCAGUGGCGAAGGCGGUUCUCUGGGACGGUACUGACGCUGAGACGCGAAAGCGUGGGGAGC
rnacentral:rRNA from 1 species